CAGUUUGACUAAAGUAAGGUUUGAGUCCUUGUCAGAUACCAGCUUGACUAAAGAAGUUAUAAGGGUCCCAGUUGACAGAGUUUCAACUAAAGGCAAAAGGAAAGGCUCUUAGAGAGCCUCCUUACUUAGAGGACACCUCUUAAGGGUAAGUCCUCACGUAGAUAGGAAGCUUAUUAUUACUGUUCUGUUAUUACUGUGCUGAUAUUGCUGUUUGCUUGCUGCUUUGAUGUGUGUGUGUGUAUGAAGGAGUGAAUGGUGUCUCUCCCUCUGGGAGUAAAACUCUCUGCCUUCGGAAUUAGAAUCCUGAGUGAAGAACCGCUUGGAAGCUCGGCUCCAAGUAGAAGCCUGUUCUUCAGGAGGCACUGAGCGUUGACCUACGGCACUUUCUCUGAGAGAGCACAUAAUACCAAAAUUUUCAAGCUAAAAUUGCAAGUGAUUUAAAUAAUGGGAAACACAAAUUCUUGUAAUUCUUCACUCGCUGAAGGCCCCGAUAGGGAUGAAAAGUACAUGCUGUCCAGAUUUCCUGGUAGCACUGUACACAUGAAAAAAUGGAGAAAGAAAUAUAAAAUAGAUGGAAAGCUAAAAAUUGAUCAAUGGCAAACAAUUGUGGGAAUUUUGGAGAGUAGUGUAGAAAGAAAAACGGGAAUAAUAAAGGCUAAAAAGGAGGAUGAGCUGAGAUGUGCUAAAUUAUGGUUAAAAGCAGCCAUAGACCGGAAAGAACAAAUUAAAAAGGCUGUAGAAGGAAUAACACCUGUAACAGAAGACCCCGAUAAGUGGAUAGAAGACAUGACUGGAUUAAUCCAUUCAUAUAGAUUAAAUGGGGUAGAAGCAGGCGAAGCAGCCAUACCCUCAUUAGGAAAGGAUUGGGUAGAAGUAAGAGGAAAUUAUACAGGGAAAAUAACUAAUAAUAUUUUAGCUCCAAUUCCACACCCUCCAGGAGUUAACCUCUCUCUCUCUCUGAUCAUUUAAAAAAAAAAAAAAAAAAAAUGGGAUCCGUUGUGUGAGAGAGUUAGAACAAAUUUUCGUAAAAAGGCAAAUUAUAGUCAUCUGUCAGGGAUUAAACAAAAAGUUGGAGAAGACGUGGACGAUUUUCGUCUGCGGUUUGAGAAGGAGUUCAAAGUUCACAGUGGGAUCACUUAUGAUGAAGGACUAGAAAGCGUAUAUCAACAACAACUAAAAAA